CCUACGGGGGGCAGCAGUGAGGAAUAUUGGUCAAUGGACGAGAGUCUGAACCAGCCAAGUAGCGUGAAGGAUGACUGCCCUAUGGGUUGUAAACUUCUUUUAUAUGGGAAUAAAAUGUUCCACGUGUGGGAUUUUGUAUGUACCAUAUGAAUAAGGAUCGGAUAACUCCGUGCCAGCAGCCGCGGUAAUACGGAGGAUCCGAGCGUUAUCCGGAUUUAUUGGGUUUAAAGGGAGCGUAGGUGGAUUGUUAAGUCAGUUGUGAAAGUUUGCGGCUCAACCGUAAAAUUGCAGUUGAAACUGGCAGUCUUGAGGACAGUAGAGGUGGGCGGAAUUCGUGGUGUAGCGGUGAAAUGCUUAGAUAUCACGAAGAACUCCGAUUGCGAAGGCAGUUCACUGGACUGCAACUGACACUGAGGCUCGAAAGUGUGGGUAUCAAACAGGAUUAGAUACCCCAGUAGUC
rnacentral:rRNA from 1 species